UAAAGCCGAUCUCCGGCAGGGAACUAUC
rnacentral:sRNA from 1 species